GCUGGACCUUCAUCCAUGAUUUUAACCACUGGAGUGUACUGGAAAACCUAGGCUUGGCUACAGAGCAAACUGAGAGCAUCCCUGUGUCUUUGAGAAUCAGCAGUGGCCAGGUUCUGGCCAACAGGAUCAAGAAUCUCGCCUCGGAAAGCACAGCCAGCCUGAGGAGAAGGAAAAGCUGCCGCCUACCGUCAAACUUCUUGUGCCUGGACACGAACGUGGUGCGCACGAACUGGCUCGUCUCCUCCACCAGUAUCAAGAUGUCCUCCUUGGAAGUAUACAGAGAGAUGACUAAGACAUCUUUGCCAUGCGUCCUAAAAGAAUUUAUACAGUCUUAUUUUCUACUGUGUUUUGUAAAUACAUUAUCUUGGGAUCCAUAAGAGAGAACCAUAAUUGCUAAAUGAACUCAAUCCUGAAUACUCAUUGAAAUGACUGAUGCUCAAGCUCAAGCUCCAAUAUUUUGGCCACCUGAUGUGAAGAACUGACUCACUGGAAAAGACCCUGAUGCUGGGAAAGAUUGAAGGCAGGAGGAGAAGGGGACGACAGAGGAUGAGAUGGCUGGAUGGCAUCACUGACUUGAUGGACAUGAGUUUGAACAACCUCCCUGAAUUGGUGAUGGACAGGGAGGCCUGGCAUGCUGCAGUCCAUGGGGUCGCAGAGAGUUGAACACAGCUGAGCCACUGAACUGAACUGAGAACAGAGAUGUUUAAGAGUGAUUUAUAAACAUGCUAUCAAUUUCAUGCCUACUCACAGUUUAUUUGCCAUGUUAUCUUAG
rnacentral:lncRNA from 1 species